UUUGUGGUCCCUAGGAUUGCUAUGGCCAUUAAUCAUCCAAUUAUUUAAAAGGAUUUCUAGCAAAAUGACCUCAGAGAUUGCUACUGACGGGGAUGAGAGUAUGACACCACAGAAUGUGUCACUUUGUCAUGUGGGUUAUUUUGAGCUGAAGACAGUCGGGGCCCAAAAGACUUGGGAAGAGAUUUUAACCUCCCCCUUAACUGCCCCUAAGAUUUAGAUAGAGGCCCUGGUCCAGGAAAAGAGCUAUCACCAGAGACUACUGCAGAGAGUCUGGGCCAGGUGCAGUCAGCUGGGGGGAGCUUGGCAGGGUUUGUAUGUUCAAAGCCCUCUCAGUGUCCUGUUCUGUCCCAUUGGCAUGGCAAAUGUUUGUUUACCAAACAUUUGCUCUUCCCAUCUUCCUGUGAAUUGUCCUCCUUCCCUUUGAAGCCCCAGACUCCUAUCCCCUUUGUUUCUUAGCUCAGGAUGGCAUGGAAGCUUCAACUGCCCGACUUUGCCCUUGCACCUCAUAUCUUUCUGGCUCCCAUAUGUAUGAAAUUAAAUUUGUUUUUCUCCUGUUCAUCUGUCUUGGGUGUUAACUAAUUGUUAAUUAAUAAACCAGCCAAAAGAAUCUGGAAGAGUAGAGAAAAAAAUUUUCCUUCCCUACACUACCAUUUGGAAUUCAUAGACAUUUGGUCAUCUUAUCUCUGGGUGUCCAGAAGCAUUCCUAUAGCACUUAUCAACAUGACAUCUACAGGAUGUGACUUCAGCCUGAGUGCACAUGUGGCAAUUACAGAAGAAAUGCCUCUUCACCCGUCUACAUGUCCGACUGGCUUCUGGGGACAUUCUCCAUGCUGGGGCAGGAGGACGGCAGCAUCUCUGCAUUUCAGUACCUUUAAGGAAUAAUAUUUGAGACAAAGUUCUAAGUUAUUUUUCUUCACGAAGAUAGUUCUUUGAUUACUACAGGAUUAUUAAACAUGGAACUAUCUGGCUAGAGCUUACAUCCCCAUCUUCUUCUUCCUGAAAACCAAAGAAAAAUCAGUUUGGACCAGUAGUCAAGAGAUUGGGCCUAUCUUUUCACAUCUGAAAACAAGUGGAAUAAUGUGAACAUUGUAAAUUUCUUGUGUUUUAGUUGUACACUUCCUUCAUGUUUAUAAACAUGGCAACACUAACAAGACAUCAGCAAACAGAGAUAACACGGAAGGAUAAUAUCAGGUUAUAAAUUACCUACCAGGAGGUUGGAGGCCAGCUUUCCCGGGGUUAAGUUACUAGAUACUCUCCUGCCCUCAGCGCAGCUGCGGCGUCCUUGCUCCACAGCCUGGCCCCUGGAGCGAGAAGGCUGGAACACACUCAGAGGGACGAUGACUCUGAUUCACUGCCUCCUAGAGUGGAUGCCACUCGAUCUUCCAAAAUCAGUCCUGGCUUGGCGAGGCGAGCCGGUCCGGAGAGUCUCCGACGGAAGAAAGCAGUAAUCCAAAGGAAGAAGGCUGCGAUAGUGACCUGCUGUUCCAGAGGAGACCGUUCAGAUCACAAGUGGUUGAGGAUGAUGGCACCUGGCAUUGCAGAGCAGAAACUGCUUGGUUAAUGCAGCGACUCUGGGUUCUGAGGGAGUUUGGUUGCCAGGAUUGCGACUGUUUCCUCCUGUAUGAUACGAAAAUGAUACCAGCCUCCGUCUCUGGGCCAGGAGGAGAACUAAGUAAUUCAGUCUAAAGCAGGAAGCAACGUUUCCGCAAAAGCUACACUUCCUCAUUUAGUUUCCAAAUAGCAACCGUGGAAGCACAGUAAACAAAGAUAAUGCUGAAAAUGAAAUGUGUUUAAAAUUCAUAGUUUGUCUUUUCUUUGCAUGAUUAAAUUAGAAGAAGCCUACAGGUGAAUGCUGAGUAAAUUCAUUGUUAAUGGGCAUUAUGCGUGUUAUGGGCUGAAUGCAUGUGUCCACAAAAUUCAUAUGGUAAAACCCUAACCCCGAGUGUGGCUGUAUUUGGAACAAGAAAUAAUUAAGGUGAAU